rnacentral:rRNA from 1 species
AGUGAACGCUGGCGGUAGGCCUAACACAUGCAAGUCGAACGGCAGCACAGUAAGAGCUUGCUCUUACGGGUGGCGAGUGGCGGACGGGUGAGGAAUACAUCGGAAUCUACUUUUUCGUGGGGGAUAACGUAGGGAAACUUACGCUAAUACCGCAUACGACCUACGGGUGAAAGCAGGGGAUCUUCGGACCUUGCGCGAUUGAAUGAGCCGAUGUCGGAUUAGCUAGUUGGCGGGGUAAAGGCCCACCAAGGCGACGAUCCGUAGCUGGUCCGAGAGGAUGAUCAGCCACACUGGAACUGAGACACGGUCCAGACUCCUACGGGAGGCAGCAGUGGGGAAUAUUGGACAAUGGGCGCAAGCCUGAUCCAGCCAUACCGCGUGGGUGAAGAAGGCCUUCUGGUUGUAAAGCCCUUUUGUUGGGAAAGAAAAGCAGCAGGUUAAUACCCCGCUGUUCUGACGGUACCCAAAGAAUAAGCACCGGCUAACUUCGUG